rnacentral:lncRNA from 1 species
AAUAUUGUUAUUUAUAGCUGCAUAAAAAUCUUAUCAUCUUGAUUUAUGGUCUUGAUAAUUCAUCAUGAUGUCUUAGGUACAGAUCUGAGUUAGGUUAGAUUGAGAUACUGGUAUUAUUUGUGUUCAAAUAGAGAUGUUACCUUAAGACUAUUUAAUGGGUAAUUUUAGAAUUUUUGUGUUCCCCAAACUUUCUUAAAUUUGAAUUAUUAUUUAACAAAAACAUUAUUAGGUUAUUUGACGAUAUAAUCAAUAGAUAAUUAAUUCCAUGCAUUUUCAAAUUAAUUGUCUUUUCUUUCAAAUAUUAGUCUGAGAACCAUUUUGUAUUGUAUAACAGUAUUGUAUAACAUGUCCCAAAAAUAUAUAUGCACUGUAUAUGUAUAUUAUAUAAAAAAUACUAUUGGCAGCUUAAAUGGAAUCUCAUUCUGUUAUUUAGUAUCAAAAAUCAAAGCACUGCUAGCGGUGUGAAGCAGUUAAUUGAAAACCAGCUACUAGACAUAGCCCUGUUCUCUUUAAUUAACUAGGUCCAUAUUUCAUAAAAGGUUGUAUAAUUUCUGAUCAGGCCUGACAAAUUAAACACAUAAUGAUAUUGUCUGGUUGUAGUACUAGUACACUCUAUUUGUGAAAUAAGGAUAAAUUCUUAAGAAGUUGUAUAUCUUAACCAUUAUCAAUACGAUUCUUUGUAUGAGAUAUCCAUUUUUUACCAUGUGUCUUAGUAGAUGUGUAUAUUGAAUAUUUUUUGUCAGUUUUUUACUAUGUUCCUUAUCUGUAGAAUGAGAUAUAUUGUUUUUGUCCUGUUCACUUGUUUGUUUGUCCACAACAAAAAUUUUGUCUGAGUGUGUUCUCCUGCAUUUUACAUUAGAAUAAAAUGAAUUUAAAUACAAAUAUAAAUUGCUUUAUGCCUUGUGCAGAUGUACUAGAGAGCAGAUGUACUAGAGAUAUAAAAUUGAUUUUUGGGAUUUUUUUGUAUAGAAAAAACUUUGGUUUUACCACUUCAGCAAAGAUUGUUGAUGUGAAAUUUCAUACAUUUUAAUUUCAAACAGAAACAGGACAUAAUUAUUUCAUAAUAUGAUCAUGUAUAGAAGUGCAUUUCUUCAAUUUGUUAACCUCAAUUUUUUGUAAAGAGAGGAACAUGUGUUUUUGUGUCAGAAAUUUUUAAUUUGCAAUGUAAAAAUGCUAUUUAUACUAUUUAUUGCAUUAUUUUGUAUUGAGAUUAUUCCCAUUUUACAUAAUUCCCAUAAUAUAAUGUAUAAUUGAUUAUUUUGUAAACUUAAUUAUGUCUGUACUACAGAACUCAUGUUAUCAACAUAUCUUAUUUAGGACUAUUUUACUGUCAUAGGAACAUUGAGAUGACUGUAGUUACUACAGUGUAGUACUUCUCAUUAUCUUAUAUGGGCAAACAUGUCAUUUUUUGUUUCAGCUAAAAUUCAAAGCAAUAACAGCGUAAUAAGCUUAAAUUUAAAAAAAAACCUAAACAACUAUGUUUGGACAGCCAAUUAUACCAGAAAAGAAAAAUGUUUUCAGUUUAUUAUAAAACAACAUACACUUGCAGAAAUACUGAUAAAAUAACCCAACUUCACAGAGAUAGCAUAAUUAUCUUUUUAUUGGAGGUUUAAACAUUUUUGAUAAAAAACAGACAACAUUUUUUGAAAGGAAUGUAUACUUCCUAUAAUCAUGUCUCAUUUCAUUAGUGUUGUAGAUAUCUCAGACUAGCAUCCAUUGACAUUCCACACUUUGAAGGUCAAAUGUGUUACCUUUAAACUGAACUAUAUUUAAGCAAAGAUUUUUUUCCCUUCAUAUCAUAUUUUCCUGGGUCUCAAUGGAUUUGGUUCUAAAGAGCUGUUUAUUACUUAUUUUUCUUUUUUUGCUCAAAAAAUGAUCUAUCUUUGAAAAGUUGGGAUUUUUAAAAAUAUAGUUGUUUGAGGUUUAAAUAGGCUAAACAUGCAUAUCUUGAUUAAAUUUGUGUAUGCCAGCUAUGUGUUUUGUCUUCUAAAGACUCAUCAUUGUCGCUAAAAUAGAAAAUUGUAAAAAUGCAAAUGAAGUAUUGAGAAUCCAAAAUUCUGAGAGGUUUUGCAAAUUACAGCCAAGGUUUAUCUAAUCCUGGGUUAGAAAAUCCUUAGUAUUUCGUAAAAUUAAGUUUUGUUAACAAAUAAUUUACAAUUGCGACCAUCUCAAUGAUAAUUCAUGUCAACACAUAAGUGUUGAGAACAAAUUUGUUUUCUAGUCGAAAGUAAAUAAAACAAAACUUGAUGAACUAAAGUAAGAAUACUACCUCAUUAACAUUAGAUCAUAUUUAGUUUGUAAUAUUUAUCUUGGUAUAUAUUAUACAAUUAAGUGCAAUUAAAGCUACUAAUCAAAUAUAAGAAAACAGUAUAAGUAGAAUUAGUUUUGUUUUCAUAACUCAUUGUGCAAUAAUUUCUUUGACCAAAGAUCAGAAUUUAUAGAAUAAAUCUGAUUAUUUUUAUUAUAGAACAAAACGUUGAAGGGAAUCAUUAUUGUCAGAUAAUCUACCGGUAAUGUAAAGAUAAUCCUAUUUAUUUGUUUCCAAUUUUAUCUUGUUGGGGCCUUUUAUAGCCUACUAUAAAGUAUGAGUUUUGCUCAUUGUUGAUAGCCAUACAGUAAUCUGUAGUUUCUAAAAGUAACAUUGUUUAGGCUUUGUUGGCUAGUUGUCUCAUUAUAUUUUAUAUAAACUGGAGAAAUUUUAAAGGAGAAGUUACAUUUUAUGGCUUACUUUGUUCUGUAGAUUCAUCCAAUUUUUUUUCAAAUGUAUGAUUUACAUUUUUCAAUUUCGAAAGCUAGACAUUCACAAAGUGUAAAUAUAAGCCAUGCUUCAUUGACAAAUUUUAACUGUAUUAGUGGGAUUUUCAGAAGAAAAAAAUUAAUUAGUAAAUUUAUGAAACAUUUUAACUUAUUUAAUAUAUAGCAUGAUCCAUUGUUCAAAAUGAUUGUUUUGUCAUUGAAUAGAUAUAAACACAAUAUACACCUACUGAAAAUUUCUUUAAGAAACAGUUAUGCUCUACAUUAUUUCUCAGUAUUGAUGAACCGAAUAGUUUGUCACAGUUUUGUGCAAUAGCACUAUUAUACUGAAUUAACCAGUGAUUUAUUAGCUCUGCUGCAUAACCCAUGAAGUGGGCAUUAAAUCAAAACUUCAAUAUCUAAUUUUGACAAAAUGUUUUUUAGAAAAUAGCCCAGACUAGUGAGGAGAAAUCCUUUAAUGGUUGAAACAUUUGUUGCUAAAGAAAAGGAUUCAGUCUUCUGGGAUUGUCUUCUUUUAUUUAUAGCAUCCAUCAAUCAAUCAUUAAUUUUAACAUGUAACAAUCGUGUUUAUAACAGAAAUCCAGAACUGCUCAGUAAUGCUUAUGUAAUGAUUAAUAUUUAAAUUUUGCAAAUUUUAUUUUCAAAAUUUGCAUUUGAUCCAGUACAAAUGUAUAUAUGCAUGAAGUCCUCUUUUUGAAGAUUUUUGGUAAAUGUAUUUGGUGAAUAAAUGUUUACAGAUAAAAUGUAAUCCAUACAAAGUACAAAUUUACAUGUGUAUUAGUCACAUACAAAGUACAAAUUUACAUGUGUAUUAGUCACAUACAAAGUACAAAUUUACAUGUGUAUUAGUCACAUACAAGGUACAAAUUUACAUGUGUAUUAGUCACUUCUUGUUAUUUAUUUGUUAUUGUUAUUCUUUUUUUUGAAUUUUUUAAGGUGGAAGCCAUGAAAAAUUAAAAUAUAU